GAUGAACGCUAGCGGCAGGCUUAACACAUGCAAGUCGAGGGGCAGCAUAAAUAGUAGCAAUACUAUUGGUGGCGAGUGGCGAACGGGUGAGUAAUAUAUCGGAACGUGCCCAGUAGUGGGGGAUAACUGCUCGAAAGAGCAGCUAAUACCGCAUACGACCUGAGGGUGAAAGGGGGGGAUCGCAAGACCUCUCGCUAUUGGAGCGGCCGAUAUCAGAUUAGCUAGUUGGUGGGGUAAAGGCCUACCAAGGCAACGAUCUGUAGUUGGUCUGAGAGGACGACCAGCCACACUGGGACUGAGACACGGCCCAGGCUCCUACGGGAGGCAGCAGUGGGGAAUUUUGGACAAUGGGCGCAAGCCUGAUCCAGCAAUGCCGCGUGCAGGAAGAAGGCCUUCGGGUUGUAAACUGCUUUUGUCAGGGAAGAAAUCCUCUAGGUUAAUACCCUUGGGGGGAUGACGGUACCUGAAGAAUAAGCACCGGCUAACUACGUGCCAGCCGCCGCCGUAA
rnacentral:rRNA from 1 species